GGCCAGAGACCCACUUAUGGCAUGUAUUAGUUGAAAGCUGACUUGAUGUGUGCUCUAAAAUUACACCGAGACCUU